ensembl:lncRNA
GGAGACGAAAGAAACACACACAUGUUUAGGCAAGGUGCUGGCUAGCUGAGUAGAACACUUGAAAAAGAAGAAGGAGAGCCGCACAUUCUUGGAGCUCAGAGUGUUGGUCAGUCAGCCAGGAUCUGCCGGAACCACCAGCCAGCCAGGAUCUGCCAGAGCCAUCAACCUGCCUGAGCUUCCUCUCAGUCCUGAGCUUCCUCUCAGUCCUGAGCUUCCUCUCAGUCCUGAGCUCCCUCUCAGUCCUGAGCUCCUCAGUACUGAGCUUCCCCUCAGUCCUGAGCUUCCCCUCAGUCCUGAGCUUCCCCUCAGUCUUGAGCUUCCCCUCAGUCCCGAGCUUCCCCUCAGUCCCGAGCUACCCCUCAGUCCCGAGCUACCCCUCAGUCCUGACCUACCUCAGUCCUGAGCUGCCCCUCAGUCCGGAGCUGCCCCUCAGUCCAGUGGGGCCCGUUGUUAGGGUUCCUAGGCCAAGGUCAGCGGCGAGGGUCGCCACUCAAGGGAC